GAUGAAGAACGCAGCGAAAUGCGAUAAGUAAUGUGAAUUGCAGAAUUCAGUGAAUCAUCGAAUCUUUGAACGCACAUUGCGCCCGCCAGUAUUCUGGCGGGCAUGCCUGUUCGAGCGUCAUUACAACCCUCAGGCCCCCGGGCCUGGGGUUGGGGAUCGGCGGAGCCCCCCGUGGGCACACGCCGUCCCCCAAAUGCAGUGGCGGUCCCGCCGCAGCUUCCAUCGCGUAGUAGCUAACACCUCGCGACUGGAGAGCGGCGCGGCCACGCCGUAAAACACCCAACUCUUCUGAAGUUGACCUCGAAUCAGGUAGGAAUACCCGCUGAACUUAAGCAUAUCAAUAAGCGGAGGA
rnacentral:misc_RNA from 1 species